ensembl:lncRNA
UCGACGCAGGACAGCGGCUCUCAGAGACUCAGCGGACACAGGGCUGUGAUUGGCCGCAGGCACAGCUCCCAUCAUGCCUCGGGGCGGCGCAGACACACCUCGGUCACGGUGCAGUGUGGCCGGAGCACAGACGGCUUCAGGAGGAGCCUCCCGCCGCAGGGGCUUCUGGGAAAUGUAGCCCCACUGAGAAAGAGCCAAGGCCUGAACCAGGACCUGAAACCAGGACUAACCGAAGAUAAAACGUCAGGACUGAACCAGAGACUGUGGGACCGCGGGAAGGAGAACCUCAACCCGGGCCAGGACCAGGAACCGGACCCUUCUCCAGACUUGAACCCGGUCUCAGAGGAUCUAAACCCGAUCUCAGAGGGUUUGGGUCUCAUCCCGUGUGGAGCAGCUGAGGAACAGUCUGGAAACGUCAG